GGCUGUAAGUAGGGUCUCCUGAAUAGGAAAAGGCUGGAGGGCUCUAACUGAAGUACGGCAGUCAAGCUCAAAACGUUCUUACUCAGAGCGGCUGGUUCGUUUCAGAGCUGGAAUUGGGUUUGGAUGCAGGAGCCAAGGAGAGGUGAUCACUUUUGUGCUUAUACACCUCUGAAGCACUCUCUGAGCAGCCAAUGUAAGGGGUGUGAGAGGAGAGCGUGGUGAGAAUGUGGCUCUUUCUGAGAAAAGUUUCAGGGCGUGUCCAGCCAGAGGGUCUAGAGUACUCUGACCUAGGCAUCCGAGGGGUUUUCCUUUCACAGCGUUGGGCAUCGAGCCCAGGUCUAACCCUGGUUACACGACUUUAGCCUGGCGUCCAGAGGCUCUUGCCUUGGACCUUGAUAUAUACACCUAGUACUUUAUGGGGGUUCAGAAGGUGAGCCACCUGUGGACUCUGACACCACCGUUACCGUAUCAGAUCAGGGGGGCCAUGGCUCCGAGUUUUCAAAAGUUGACAUUAAAAAUACCUGUGUGUGUGUGUGUGUGUGUGUGUGUGUGUGUGUGUGAGAGAGAGAGAGAGAGAGUGUGUGAGUGUAUGUGAGUGUGUGCGUGAGUGUGUAUGUAUGUGUGUGAGUGUGUGUGUGUGCAUGUAUGUGAGUGUAAGUGUGUGUGUGAGUGGGUUUGUGUGUGUGUGUGAGAGUGUGCAUGUGUGUGAGUGUGUGUGAGUGUGUAUGUAUGUGUGUAAGUGUGUGUGUAUGUGUGUAAGUGUGUGUGUGUGUGUGUGUGUGUGUGUGAGAGAGAGAGAGAGAGAGAGAGAGAGAGAGAGAGAGAGAGAGAGAAAGAUUCUGCUUUUCCAUGUUGGCAAGGGAUUGAUUUUCUUUUACAAUGAGAUGGCUUAGUGGGAAAAGGAACUUGCCACCAAGCCUGACACCUGUGUUUGAGCUCUAGGAUUCAAAUGGUGGAAGGGGACAACUGAGACCUUAAAGUUGUCCCUGUGACCUCCAUAUGUGCACCAACCAUGGUGUGGGUUUGAGUGGAUGCACACACGUAAUGCAUCAUAAAAAAUAUAAAUAAUAAAUGUAAUAUAUUUAAAAAUAUGUAAAGCACUGGGCUAAUUGUGACUCAGUUGGUAAGGCGCUUGCCUAUCAGUCGUGAAGGCCUGGGUCCAACUCCCAGAAGCAUAUGAAACAGACACAAUGGUGCGUGUCUGUCAUCCGAGCACUCAGAGGGUACAGGCAGCAAGAUCAGAAAUUCAAAGUCAUUUUCAGCUAUAAUGUCAGCCCCGGCCACGUGAGACUGUUUAUGGCCGACUGACUGACUGACAGACUGACUGACUGACUGACUGACUGGAUGACUGGAUGAAUGACCAAAUGACUGGCUGGCUGAAUGAAUGAGUUGGUCCAGGACUUAUCUGGCUGGACUCUAGAGAUGGAAAAUUGAAGUCUUGUGGAUAUGGCUGGAAGGACCGUCACAGGGACGAGUGACAGGCUAAUGACAAGUCUUCAGCUCUGUGUCUCUGCAUUGGGACCCAGACUUCUAAAUUUCUCUGUGGAAAAAUUUCAUUUGCUGUGCACCCUUUGAUGACCACACCACUUAUUUGGUGGCCAUGGCCAAUGGAAAAGCUUCCUACCUCCCACCGUACUGUGUUUAUUGACCAUCUAGUACCUUUCAUUUUUAUUUUUUUAAAAGUUCUAUUUAUUUUUAUUUUAUGCAUACGAGUGUAUUGCCUGCAUGUGUGUUUAUGUACCGCAUGUGUGCCUGGUGCCUACAGAAGCCAUAGGAGGGCAUCCGAUCCCCUGGGACUGGAGUUACAGCUGGUUGGGAGCUGUCAUGUGGGUCUGAUAAUUAAACCCCAGGUCCUGCGGGAGAGCAGUCGGUACCCUUACCUGGUACGCCACCUCUUUAGCCUCACCUUGUAUCUUCUUUUUGAAUCUGUAUUUUAUUUUUUCAGGACAGAGUUUCUCUGGGUAGCCUUGGCUGUCUGUAAAUCAGGCUGGCCUUGAGCUCACAGAGGUCUGCCUGCCUCUGCCUCCCAAGUGCUGGACUUAAUGGUGGGCGUUCCCACUGCUCUGCUCCAUCCUAUAUCUUUUAAUUAAAAUCUGCAGAGCAGAUCAAAUGGUUCCUAGAGACCUGUAGGUUGGUCGUUUGCAUGGUUUGUUCUCAGUUCUUCACAGGAUGGGCUGGUGGUCUAGGGUGGCACUUCAGCUUUGACUUUUGAAAUCCUUUAUCCCACCAAACAUUGACUCCUUUCCUGCCGGAGGAGUAGGGUCUGAGACUGCUGCUGUCCCCCAGCCCCUCCCCCUCCACUCCUGCCAGGCUCUUGCUUUUGUGGUUCCUUCAUCCACACUUAACACAAAAUAUGCCUGGCUUAAUUCUCCAAACGCUGAUUCGGUGGUUCUGUUUUUUUGGGGGGAGGAAACUGGGUAAUAAAAGAGGGUCACAUACCCUAGAGAAGGGAUGGUUUUAUCGCACAGGAGCCAGAAGGUGAAAUAGCUCUGUCCAAGCUAAGAGAGAAGGGACACUGCUUACAAGUUCUCCCCAGAGGAGAGACGUGUUUCAAAGGCUUUCCAGAUGACUCAGGGAUGUGUUGUAAGUGUGUUAUUGCAAAAAACAAAACAAAAAAAAACCCGGAAGCAUGUCUUCAAAUUUAGCCACAUAAGGCGCACAUGUCAGGCACUAAGUGUUCCUCUGUGCAUUCAGAUUCAGCCGUAGAUGUGGGUGGUUCAGGAGGAAGGGAGGCAAGCCCAAGGUGGCAGGAGUCAGGAGGCUCCAUUAAAAAUGGUGGCGGUGGGGGUGCUCCAUUAAAUAUGGUCAGGACUUUGGAAGCAGCUGAUGGCAUCCAUUGCAAAACACGGUAGAUGGAGCAAGCCUUGCGGCGGCCGUUAACAAGUGGGACAGAGCUAGCUGGGUUUCAAAGACAUGAAAGCCACCAUUGUGAAAUGUGCCCUAAGUGAAAACCGUCUUACUAAGAACAAGAGGUGACACAUCCACUCUAUGCCAAAACUCGGACCAAGACGGUGUAAACGCUUAUCUACACACUUCUGUGAAGCUCUGCCCAGCGAGCUUACUGGAAGAAGACACGGCUGCCAACCAGAGGCCUGGAUUCGAGAACACUCUGUACUCUGGUCUCGUCUAGGGGAUCAUCCAAGUCGCUGAAGGCCUUUUUCCUCCUGCAGACCAGGGGGAGUAGAAGUAGGCAAUGCUGCAGAAGUGAUCCUCGAGCUCCAGUCCCUGCUGAGGGUCAGUGUGAUAGUGACAAUCUGAAGGAACUGGCUGUGGGUGGAUCUGAGCCAGCGCUGACAGCCUGAGGAGCCAUAGAAGGGUCUGCUGGGCUGCUCUCUGCAUCCACACAGACUCAGAGCAGAUCGACUCCAAGUCUGCGACAGGCAACUGCUUCCUGCUGCUCACAGAGAAGCGUCCUCAUAAGAUGACAUCAGGGAAGCCCUGAACGUUGUUGGGUAGCAGAAUGAGAGCAAGGGUCAGAGGAAGACAAAGCUUGCCUCUGUAGCAAGUGGCAACCUGUGCCACUGCGCAAGCCCCUCCUGGUGUGCAGCACUGCUCCUCCGCUCCUCGUUGAGGGGGAGCCCAGCCUUGCUCUAGCUUGUUUCUCCCGCAGGGUGAGUGAUGUCACCACCAUUCUUGAAGACAGCUUUUUUUUUUUUUUGGUGCCGUGCUAGGUUCUGCCAACACAAGCAUCUGCCUGUGAUUUUAGUCAGUUUUGUGUUUCUGAAGAAAUCCCAAACCGAUCUUCUUCAUUUUCCAAUCUGAGUUUCUAAUUCAUGAUUUAAAAAACAAAAAUGUGUUCCCGGGUA